rnacentral:tRNA from 1 species
GGAUUGCGGCUUAGUGGUAGAGCGUUUGCCUAGCACGUAUGAGGCACUGGGUUCAAUUCUCAGCACCA